rnacentral:snRNA from 1 species
AGCUUUGCGCAGUGGCAGUAUCGUAGCCAUAAUGUGGCUUUAUCCGAGAUUUAUCCGAGGCGCGAUUAUUGCUAAUUGAAAACUUUUCCCAAUAAUAUUUUCAAAAGUAUUCAAAAGGCUGUUUGUGUUCAUGAGAAAGAAAGAAAACUUCCUGCAAAUCAGAAG